UAACAACCGAUUCUUCUGAGAAAGGACUUAAGGUACUCAACCUAUUGAUGCACAUGGACAUGAUGACUCUCUAGCGUUUAUGGACCAACCAACCUGUAAUCAUGGACCUUAUUGUCUUGUAGACCAUUUGGUGUUUCGAGUGUUUUGGAGCUUGCACUUGUGCAUGUAGAUACAAACUUGUGUGUUUUGGACCAUCUGAAGUGUCUCAUAGUAACCAAUAGUCUUUAUCUUUUUGUAACAUGUGUGUUCUAGAUGAUUGUUAAGAUGGUCAAAACUAUGCUUCCUCUUGGUUAAUUUGUUUGUCAA